GCAUUAUUGGCUGCCGUUUAGCAUGAUAUAGGUGAUAAGUUUCUCAUCUUCUUCCUCACGUUACAAUAUCCGGCGCCGUUAAGACUAAAUCUCUGUUCACCCACCCGAAGAAGAUGAGAAUUAUCAUCUGUAUGGUGAAAAACGGCCCACUGUACUUGC
rnacentral:pre_miRNA from 1 species